rnacentral:siRNA from 1 species
AACAUAUUAGGGAAUCCUCGACUC